rnacentral:rRNA from 1 species
GAUGAACGCUGGCGGCGUGCUUAACACAUGCAAGUCGAACGGAAAGGCCCAAGCUUGCUUGGGUGCUCGAGUGGCGAACGGGUGAGUAACACGUGGGUGAUCUGCCCUGCACUUUGGGAUAAGCCUGGGAAACUGGGUCUAAUACCGGAUAGGACCAUCGUUUAGUGUCGGUGGUGGAAAGUUUUUCGGUGUGGGAUGAGCUCGCGGCCUAUCAGCUUGUUGGUGGGGUAAUGGCCUACCAAGGCGUCGACGGGUAGCCGGCCUGAGAGGGUGUACGGCCAAAUUGGGACGGAGAGACGGCCCAGACCCCAGGGGGGGGAAGAGGGGGGGAAUGUUGACAAGGGGGGGAAGGCCUGAGGCGGCGACCCCGGGGGGGGGGGGCGGGCCUUGGGGUUGUAACCCCUUUCCCCAAGGGAGAAGGCUUUUUGGGAGGGUAUUUGGAAAAGAAGCCCCGCCUAACUCCGUC